rnacentral:lncRNA from 1 species
UUGAAAAUAAUCGCCAUUCCAUUCUUCAGGGGGGGCUCCUGACUUCAACCAAUAUAUCGUCAUUCUGUUCUUCAGGGGGGCUCCUGACUUCUUCUUAAAUUCUUCAUCCUCGUUCUCCAGGUGGACGCCUGACUUCUUCUUAAAUUCUUCAUCCUCGUUCUCCAGGUGGAUGCCUGACUUCUUCUUACAUUCUUCAUCCUCAUUCUCCAGGUGGACGCCUGACUUCUUCUUUAAUUCUUCAUCCUCAUUCUCCAGGUGGACGCCUGAUUUCUUCUUCAAUUUUUUCAUCCUCAUUCUCCAGGUGGACGCCUGACUUCUUCUUCAAUUUUUUCAAAUUAUCCUAGGAGAAAAUUCAUCAGACUAGAUUUUGAUCCUAGG